GGUUAAGCGACUAAGCGUACACGGUGGAUGCCCUGGCAGUCAGAGGCGAUGAAGGGCGUGCUAAUCUGCGAUAAGCGCCGGUAAGGUGAUAUGAACCGUUAUAACCGGCGAUACCCGAAUGGGGAAACCCAGUGUGACUCGUCACACUAUCAUUAACUGAAUCCAUAGGUUAAUGAGGCGAACCGGGGGAACUGAAACAUCUAAGUACCCCGAGGAAAAGAAAUCAACAGGAAAAGAAAUCAAC
rnacentral:rRNA from 1 species